rnacentral:lncRNA from 1 species
GAGCGCGGUGGCCACGGAACGCUGCCCGGAGCCGCGCGAGGGAGGACCCGACGCGCGGCGUUUACCCAGCGCAGCGUUCCACCGCUCGGGUUUGGCUGGGCCCUUCACCUUCGUGCCUCGGGGACUCCCUGGCAGAGACAACGUUGUCUGAGGAUACCACAGACUCCGUUGGCAGCGCUUCUCCCCAUGGCUCGAGUGAAAAGAGUAGCAGCUUCUCUCUGUCCUCAACAGAGGUACACAUGGUCCGCCCAGGAUAC